GAUGAACGCUAGCUACAGGCUUAACACAUGCAAGUCGAGGGGAAACGAUAUUGGAAGCUUGCUUCCGAUAGGCGUCGACCGGCGCACGGGUGAGUAACGCGUAUCCAACCUGCCCAUCACUUGGGGAUAACCUCGCGAAAGUAAGACUAAUACCCAAUGACGUCCAUAGAAGACAUCUGAAAUGGAUUAAAGAUUUAUCGGUGAUGGAUGGGGAUGCGUCUGAUUAGCUUGUUGGCGGGGUAACGGCCCACCAAGGCGACGAUCAGUAGGGGUUCUGAGAGGAAGGUCCCCCACAUUGGAACGUAGACACGGUCCAAACUCCUACGGGAGGCAGCAGGGAGGAAGAUUGGUCAAGGGGCGAGAGCCUGAACCAGGCAAGUAGCGUGCAGGAUGACGGCCUAUGGGUUGUAAACUGCUUUUAUAGGGGAAUAAAGUGAGUCUCGUGAGGCUUUUUGCAUGUGCCUUAUGAAUAAGGACCGGCUAAUUCCGUGCCAGCCGCCGCCGUAAUAC
rnacentral:rRNA from 1 species